CCCAAAUUUUAUUCCUUAAUGUCCAUACCAACUUCAUCUUCAAUUGCAACCACAAGUAGCUCAUCACACAUUUACUAGGAUAAUUUUUCAACACCCCUCAUUAUAAAAUGCAAUACUCAAGGUUGUAUAAGACUUUAAAGAGAACUCAAACAACAAAACCCAAUACUCUAAAAGUGGCUCACCUUUGACUAAAACUAAACCACACUCU
rnacentral:lncRNA from 1 species